rnacentral:rRNA from 1 species
AUUGAACGCUGGCGGCAUGCUUUACACAUGCAAGUCGAACGGUAACAGGCCGCAAGGUGCUGACGAGUGGCGAACGGGUGAGUAAUGCAUCGGAACGUGCCCAGUCGUGGGGGAUAACGCAGCGAAAGCUGCGCUAAUACCGCAUACGAUCUAUGGAUGAAAGCGGGGGACCGUAAGGCCUCGCGCAAUUGGAGCGGCCGAUAUCAGAUUAGGUAGUUGGUGGGGUAAAGGCUCACCAAGCCAACGAUCUGUAGCUGGUCUGAGAGGACGACCAGCCACACUGGGACUGAGACACGGCCCAGACUCCUACGGGAGGCAGCAGUGGGGAAUUUUGGACAAUGGACGCAAGUCUGAUCCAGCCAUGCCGCGUGCGGGAAGAAGGCCUUCGGGUUGUAAACCGCUUUUGUCAGGGAAGAAACGGGUUUCUCUAAUAAAGAGACCUAAUGACGGUACCUGAAGAAUAAGCACCGGCUAACUACGUGCCAGCCGCCGCAGUAAGAC